UGGCUGUGAUGAUUUCUGUGCUAUCGAGAUGGUGGGGUCCAUCAUUGUCAUCUGAUUCAAGAUGAAAAAUAUGCACAUCUGAGCUU